rnacentral:rRNA from 1 species
AGAGCGAACGCUGGCGGCAGGCCUAACACAUGCAAGUCGAGCGCGUGUAGCAAUACACGAGCGGCAGACGGGAGAGUAACACGUGGGAACGCGCCCUUCGGUUCGGAAUAACUCAGGGAAACUUGAGCUAAUACCGGAUACGCCCUUACGGGGAAAGAUUUAUUGCCGAAGGAACGGCCCGCGUCCGAUUAGCUAGUUGGUGAGGUAACGGCUCACCAAGGCGACGAUCGGUAGCUGGUCUGAGAGGAUGACCAGCCUCACUGGGACUGAGACACGGCCCAGACUCCUACGGGAGGCAGCAGUGGGGAAUAUUGGACAAUGGGCGCAAGCCUGAUCCAGCCAUGCCGCGUGGAUGAUGAAGGCCUUAGGGUUGUAAGCACUUUAGUGGGGAUGAAAUGUUCAGGGUUAAUACCCCGUGGAUCUCGACCUAACCCAAAGAAAACGCACCGGCUAACUCUGCGCCAGCAGCCGCGGUAA